rnacentral:rRNA from 1 species
CCAGACCGCCAGCUAAGGUCCCUAAAAUUGGCUAAGUGGGAAACGAAGUGGGAAGGCUAAAACAGUCAGGAUGUUGGCUUAGAAGCAGCCAUCAUUUAAAGAAAGCGUAAUAGCUCACUGAUCGAGUCGUCCUGCGCGGAAGAUGUAACGGGGCUAAGCCAGUUACCGAAGCUGCGGAUUUGCAAUUUAUUGCAAGUGGUAGGAGAGCGUUCUGUAAGCCUGUGAAGGUGUGUUGUAAAGCAUGCUGGAGGUAUCAGAAGUGCGAAUGCUGACAUGAGUAGCGUUAAAGGGGGUGAAAAGCCCCCUCGCCGUAAGCGCAAGGUUUUCUACGCAACGUUCAUCGGCGUAGAGUGAGUCGGCCCCUAAGGCGAGGCAGAGAUGCGUAGCUGAUGGGAAACAGGUCAAUAUUCCUGUACCGAUUGCAAGUGCGAUGUGGGGACGGAUCUUAAUAGGUUAUCCGGCUGUUGGACAUGCCGGUUUAGACAGAUGUAGGCGACACGUAGGCAAAUCCGCGUGUCAUAUACCGAGGCUGUCGAUCGAGUGAGCUUGCUCACGAAGUAACUGAACGAGGUUCCAGGAAAAGCCACUAAGCUUCAGCUUGCAACGACCGUACCGCAAACCGACACUGGUGCGCGAGAUGAGUAUUCUAAGGCGCUUGAGAGAACUCAGGAGAAGGAACUCGGCAAAUUGACACCGUAACUUCGGAAGAAGGUGUGCCCUAGUAGUGUGAAGUGAACAACGGAGCAUGAAUGGGUUGCAAAAAAUCGGUGGCUGCGACUGUUUAAUAAAAACACAGCACUCUGCAAACACGAAAGUGGACGUAUAGGGUGUGACGCCUGCCCGGUGCUGGAAGAUUAAUUGAUGGGGUGCAAGCUCUUGAUCGAAGUCCCAGUAAACGGCGGCCGUAACAAUAACGGUCCUAAGGUAGCGAAAUUCCUUGUCGGGUAAGUUCCGACCUGCACGAAUGGCGUAACGAUGGCCACACUGUCUCCUCCUGAGACUCAGCGAAGUUGAAAUGUUUGUGAUGAUGCAAUCUCCCCGCGGAAAGACGGAAAGACCCCAUGAACCUUUACUGUAGCUUUGUAUUGGACUUUGAACAGAUCUGUGUAGGAUAGGUGGGAGGCUUUGAAGCGGUGCCGCUAGGUVUCGUGGAGCCAACGUUGAAAUACCACCCUGGUGUGUUUGAGGUUCUAACCUUGGCCCGUUAUCCGGGUUGGGGACAGUGUAUGGUAGGCAGUUUGACUGGGGCGGUCUCCUCCCAAAGCGUAACGGAGGAGUUCGAAGGUACGCUAGGCACGGUCGGAAAUCGUGCUGAUAGUGCAUUGGCAUAAGCGUGCUUGACUGCGAGACUGACAAGUCGAGCAGGUAACGAAAAAGAAAAGUACUCUGCGUUUGGCCGCUCGU